rnacentral:misc_RNA from 1 species
GAUGAAGAACGCAGCGAAAUGCGAUAAGUAAAGUGAAUUGCAGAAUUCAGUGAAUCAUCGAAUCUUUGAACGCACAUUGCGCCCCCUGGUAUUCCGGGGGGCAUGCCUGUCCGAGCGUCAUUACAACCCUCAAGCUCAGCUUGGUGUUGGGCCCCGCCGCCCCGGCGGGCCCUAAAGUCAGUGGCGGUGCCGUCCGGCUCCGAGCGUAGUAAUUCUUCUCGCUCUGGAGGUCCGGUCGUGUGCUUGCCAGCAACCCCCAAUUUUUUUCAGGUUGACCUCGGAUCAGGUAGGGAUACCCGCUGAACUUAAGCAUAUCAAUAAGCGGAGGA